GGGAGAGAGAGAUACAGAGGGAGAGAGAAGACAGAGGGAGAGAGAAGACAGAGGGAGAGAGAAGACAGAGGGAGAGAGAAGACAGGGGAGAGAGAUACAGAGGGAGAGAUACAGAGGGAGAGAGAUACAGAAGGAGAGAGAAGACAGAGGGAGAGAGAUACAGAGGGAGAGAGAAGACAGAGGGAGAGAGAUACAGAGGGAGAGAGAUACAGAGAGAAGACAGAGGGAGAGAGAAGACAGAGGGGAGAGAAGACAGAGGGAGAGAGAAGACAGGGGAGAGAGAAGACAGAGGGAGAGAGAAGACAGGUGGAGAGAGAAGACAGAGGGAGAGAGAGACAGGUGGAGAGAGAAGACAGAGGGAGAGAGAAGACAGGUGGAGAGAGAAGACAGAGAGAA
ensembl:lncRNA